rnacentral:misc_RNA from 1 species
CAGGUGGCAGGACAACUUGUCUUCCUACUGAACUCAUUAAAAGUGCUCUUCUCGAUGAAUCGUGAUUCCAGCUUGGAACUACCUCUAAAACCGUUUCACCGAGUGAUUUCGUCGUCCAUCAUCUUCCUUCUGCAUCACCUAGACGUCCGUGUGUGUCAUCGACAGCAUACUGGACAUAGCCAAUUGAACCGCCUAGAUGGUGGUGAAAAUGACGAGCAGUAACGGCGGAAGCCUGGCCGUCAUGGCCGGCUCGGAGGCCGGAAAUGGUAGCAGUAGUGUCGCCGAUGUUGACGGAACAGACGCCGCCGUCGAGGCUUGUUCUGGUGGACGCAUUGAAGACGAUAUUGCCGAUCAUUCUGACGACGAGCAAGGUGCCGAUGCCGCUUCAGAUGAUUCAGAUUCCAUGGAUUUCGACGACGAUGACGACGAUGACGGAUCAGAUCUCAUGUCCAAUACGACGCUCGGCGAUGACAUAACCGCCCAGCUCGCAGCCGCUGGUCCUGUUGGUAUGGCAGCGGCUGCAGCCAUAAACUCGUCCAAAAAGAGGAAGCGACCCCACUCGUUUGAAACGAAUCCAUCCAUACGUCGGAGGCAACAGACGAGGCUUUUACGUAAACUCCGCCAGACGAUUGACGAAUAUGCAACUCGAGUCGGACAACAAGCCAUCGUCUUGAUCGCUACACCGGGCAAACCGCAGAACAAUUUUCGCGUCUUUGGCGCCAAACCUUUAGAAGAUGUUGUUAAAAAUGUGAAAUCCACCGUUCUUCAGGAUCUGGAAACGGCUUUGGCGCAUCACGCUCCACCACCAGCUCUAGACGAUCCGUCUCUCUAUGAAUUACCUCCGCUAGUCAUCGACGGAAUCCCUACACCAGUCGAAAAAAUGACGCAAGCCCAAUUGCGAGCGUUUAUUCCGCUGAUGCUCAAGUUUUCCACCGGUCGAGGAAAACCUGGAUGGGGCAAAGAAUCCACUCGACCACCUUGGUGGCCAGGAGAAGUACCUUGGGCCAAUGUUCGAAUGGAUGCUCGCCCCGAAGACGAUAAGCAAAGAGUGUCGUGGACGCACGCGUUGCGGCAAAUUGUCAUCAAUUGCUACAAGUACCACGGACGGGAAGACCUGCUGCCCGCCUUCUCUGAAGAUGCAACGGAGGAAACUAGUCGCCCUGCAAAAGUGAUAAAAACCGAAUCGGAAGCUGAACAACAAGCCGAACGGAGCGCUGAUGUUGUUGCUCAACCACAACAGCAGCAAGAGCAACAGCAACACCAGCAACAACAUCCACCAGCUCCACCACCAUCGUCUCAGCCAGCUCAACAUCAGCAGCAGCAGCAGCAACAACAACAACAACAACAGCAACAGCAACAGCAGCAGCAGCAAUCUGUGCAGCAGUUGGUGCAGACGAAUUCGGCACCCAGUGCCCAGUACGCACCGACUGUCGUUCAAACGAUCAGCAAUCCUGACGGGACAGUGUCCAUCAUACAGGUCGAUCCUCAUUCAUUCACUAAUUCAUUCUUCCAGGUGGAUCCCAACAAUCCGAUCAUCACGCUACCGGACGGAACAACGGCCCAAGUGGUUGCCACCCAGGGAGUGUCCACCGUUAACCAGUGCGACGACGACGAUGGUGCCAACCACGAUCAGCAGCAACAGCAUCAGAAUGACCGCAACCAUCACCUCAUGAACUCGAAACCGAUGAUUUGGCAGUUCGUCCCCACUUCGCAGAUCACGGGUGUCACGUCUUCAGAUGGCGUGACGACGCUCACCAAUUCCGCCGACGGCACGACAGUCACCACUGUCGACUUGUCGGCCGUGACCGAAUCCACCAUCGGCCAAGAAGGCCAGCACCACAUCCUUCUCACGGGUGAAGAUGGCCAAACGUAUCCGGUCAGUGUCUCAGGAAUGAUCACCGUUCCCGCCAUGUAUCAGGCUAUGGUUGCCAACAUCGCACAGAUGGGUCAAUCAGAUGCUUCUGUUCAGAUUCUAAUGGAGGAGAUGAUGGAGCCUUGGUGUCGACAACAUCAACAGCUGGGACAGCAACCGGGGGAAUGAACGUUGGAGGAUUGGCCGUCACCCCCGUCCUAGCGCUAGGGCCGAACGGGACGCAGCAACACAUUCUCCAGGUGACGGCCGCGCCCAUGGUGACUUCACAGCUUCUCGGUGAGGUCGACUCGUCCAUUUUGGCAUCGGCCAUGCAACAAGUGACGUCUGGCGAUGUGGUAGACCUUCAGGAAACUUCGCCCUCUUCCAAUUCCGAGUAGAAGGC